rnacentral:rRNA from 1 species
CGUAGUUGGAUUUCUGGUUUCUUUUUAGCAGAGGGUCCACCUCACGGUGAGCACUUUCUGCGGGAGCCAUCCUUCCGGAGAGGGCGUGUGCACUUUGUUGUGUGUGCGGAUUUCGCCGGAACCUUUACUUUGAAAAAAUUAGAGUGUUCAAAGCAGGCAUACGCUUGAAUACAUUAGCAUGGAAUAAUAGAAUAGGACUUUGGUUCUAUUUUGUUGGUUUCUAGGACCGAAGUAAUGA